AAACAAAUUAAUCGAGAAUCAAAACUUCAGUCCCCGCUCAACUCCCUUUCUUCUUCCCUUGCUUUCCCAGCUGCUUCGUCCCCUCCAAAAAAAAAAACCCUUCCCUGUCAAGACAAAAAAGCUUUCCAUGCGUCGUCAAUCGGUGGUUCUGGUUCCUCGUCGGUGGUUUUGGCCUCCUCGCCAGUCGCCGGUAGUUCUGGUCUCUUUUCUCGCCUCCUCUCCACCUGUUAGCUUGCUCGGCCGGUAGUUCCAAGAAAGAAGUUAGCUUGCUCGGCCGGUGGUUCUCCGUCAAUCUCCUCGCCGCGGCAAGUUGGUUGUAGGUAUGCUCGUGAAGAGACGAGACAUGAUAAUGGAUCACUGCCGAUUUAGGACUACAACAUAGAGCUGGCGAAUCAAAGAGGACAGAAGGUUAAAUUGGAGUCUGAGUCUGAGCAAAGGUUGGUUUUCCUGGGAAAAAAUUCAUUCAAUUGAGAAACAAACACUGUGUUCUUCUUCAAUGGGAAGGUGGAAAAUCGGACUCCAGAUGUCUACAAGGAGAUACAGACUUGGAUCAUGAAGAGGUGUCAUGCCAAUCCAAACACAAACAUUGAACUUAAAUAUCUGUCGGAGCUGUCUAUUGGGGAUAUAGAUGCAAGGCAAGAAAUUAUGGAGUUUCUAGGUCAUUGGGGUUUGAUUAACUAACAUCCUUUUCCUCAGAAUGAGCCUAAUGUUGAUGCCGAUCCAAAUACAGAUGCUGACAAGGCAGAGCAAACAGACUCUUUAAUUGAAAAGUUGUAUCAGUUAGAACAUAAGCAAUCCUCUGUACAAUUAGUUCCAAGAGCCAACGUGUCAGCAGCGGCAGUGCCUUACAUUCUCCGCAACCCUACAUUCUUCGCACAGAUAAUAACAACAUCAACAAUGUCAGCAGCAGUGGAGCAAACUCCGCAACCCUACAUUCUUCGCCUUCAACAAUCCCUUGUCUCCUGCUCCAAGGCAGUUGAAGCUGGUGAUAUUCGUCAAUCGGAAUAAGUAAUUUUUGGGAUUGUUGAGUUUCUCAGCUCAAUUUCUGAUGCUGCUGUUUCAGAUUUUGAUGAUGAAGAAACCCAGAUAAUAACAUACUGCAAUCUACCUCCUAUCUUUUAGUUGUUUAUUAUUCCCUAAAGAAUUUUGAACACCUGGGAUAAGUAAAGCAGCCGUUCAAGAAAUAUACUACAAAACAUGAGAUUGGGCCUUUGAUGCAAAUUUUUGUUAAGCAAAUACUACAAAUAUACAAGCUAGAAUUUGUGAAAUUGUUUUCAAUGUGAAUCAUCAGAAAGAUUUAAUAACUAAAUGCAACUCUUGAUAGUGGCUCAAAUGACGGUGGAAUUGGGAGCCCGAUUGAGUUGAAGACUUGAAGUACAUAUAUGAUAUAUCUGCUUAGAUUGUUAAUUCAUUUUCUUGAUUUUACUGUUAAAUUAUGCUUCAUUGACAUCAUUGUCUACUUGUGAUUGUAUUUUGCAGAUAUACAGUUGGAAAAUAUGGGAAUUCCAGGCAAUUCUGCAAGCAAAGAGGAACAAGGUGAUGAGGCGACAAACCACCUUUGCUUUCCAUCAUGGAUCACAUCCAUGGAGCAGAAACCGGUUUUUGAUUUGGAUGGUAAUU